AGUAAAAGUCGUAACAAGGUUUCCGUAGGUGAACCUGCGGAAGGAUCAUUACCGAGUUGAUUCGAGCUCCGGCUCGACUCUCCCACCCAAUGUGUACCUACCUCUGUUGCUUUGGCGGGCCGCGGUCCUCCGCACCGGCGCCCUUCGGGGGGCUGGCCAGCGCCCGCCAGAGGACCAUAAAACUCCAGUCAGUGAACUUCGCAGUCUGAAAAACAAGUUAAUAAACUAAAACUUUCAACAACGGAUCUCUUGGUUCUGGCAUCGAUGAAGAACGCAGCGAAAUGCGAUAAGUAAUGUGAAUUGCAGAAUUCAGUGAAUCAUCGAAUCUUUGAACGCACAUUGCGCCCCUUGGUAUUCCGAGGGGCAUGCCUGUUCGAGCGUCAUUUCAACCCUCAAGCUCUGCUUGGUAUUGGGCUUCGUCCUCCACGGACGCGCCUUAAAGACCUCGGCGGUGGCGUCUUGCCUCAAGCGUAGUAGAAAACACCUCGCUUUGGAGCGCACGGCGUCGCCCGCCGGACGAACCUUUGAAUUAUUUCUCAAGGUUGACCUCGGAUCAGGUAGGGAUACCCGCUGAACUUAAGCAUAUCAAUAAGCGGAGGA
rnacentral:rRNA from 1 species